rnacentral:lncRNA from 1 species
GGAGUCAUCGUGGGCCACAGCUGGAAACGGGCACAUUAAGAGUGACAAGGAUUUUGGCAGUCGCAGAACCUGAGACUUUGAGUCUUGCUUUUCAACCAAACCAAAUGGGAUGUCUGGAGCCUUCAUUAGGAAGAAACAACCUGCUACGCCAUGGCUCUCACAUUGCCUCAUCCCCCUAAGGACGGAAGAAAGCCCCAAGGUGCCUAUUCAUCAAGGGACAGGCAUCAAGGACCUAAGAAAUCACUGGAACCAAAACAUGGAUCAGUGAGACCUGAAAGAACUUAUACCUUCCUCCAAAAAGGAUGCUGAUUUGGCUAAUUGUGUUGCCCACAAGGGUAUCUCUUCUUGCUUUAUUGGUUCACAAGUG